UCCAGGCAAAUCCGGAUAAUCAAGGCUGAGGUGUGAUGACGAGGCACUACGGUGCUGAAGUAACAAAUGCCCUGCUUCCAGGAAAAGCCUCUAAGCAUCAGGUAACAUCAAAUCGUACCCCAAACCGACACAGGUGGUCAGGUAGAGAAUACCAAGGCGCUUGAGAGAACUCGGGUGAAGGAACUAGGCAAAAUGGUGCCGUAACUUCGGGAGAAGGCACGCUGGUGUGUAGGUGAAGCCCCUGCGGGUGGAGCUGAGACCAGUCGAAGAUACCAGCUGGCUGCAACUGUUUAUUAAAAACACAGCACUGUGCAAACACGAAAGUGGACGUAUACGGUGUGACGCCUGCCCGGUGCCGGAAGGUUAAUUGAUGGGGUUAUCCGUAAGGAGAAGCUCUUGAUCGAAGCCCCGGUAAACGGCGGCCGUAACUAUAACGGUCCUAAGGUAGCGAAAUUCCUUGUCGGGUAAGUUCCGACCUGCACGAAUGGCGUAAUGAUGGCCAGGCUGUCUCCACCCGAGACUCAGUGAAAUUGAACUCGCUGUGAAGAUGCAGUGUACCCGCGGCAAGACGGAAAGACCCCGUGAACCUUUACUAUAGCUUGACACUGAACAUUGAGCCUUGAUGUGUAGGAUAGGUGGGAGGCUUUGAAGCGUGGACGCCAGUCUGCGUGGAGCCAACCUUGAAAUACCACCCUUUAAUGUUUGAUGUUCUAACGUUGGCCCCUGACCGGGGUUGCGGACAGUGUCUGGUGGGUAGUUUGACUGGGGCGGUCUCCUCCCAAAGCGUAACGGAGGAGCACGAAGGUUAGCUAAUCCUGGUCGGACAUCAGGAGGUUAGUGCAAUGGCAUAAGCUAGCUUGACUGCGAGCGUGACGGCGCGAGCAGGUGCGAAAGCAGGUCAUAGUGAUCCGGUGGUUCUGAAUGGAAGGGCCAUCGCUCAACGGAUAAAAGGUACUCCGGGGAUAACAGGCUGAUACCGCCCAAGAGUUCAUAUCGACGGCGGUGUUUGGCACCUCGAUGUCGGCUCAUCACAUCCUGGGGCUGAAGUAGGUCCCAAGGGUAUGGCUGUUCGCCAUUUAAAGUGGUACGCGAGCUGGGUUUAGAACGUCGUGAGACAGUUCGGUCCCUAUCUGCCGUGGGCGCUGGAGAAUUGAGGGGGGCUGCUCCUAGUACGAGAGGACCGGAGUGGACGCAUCACUGGUGUUCGGGUUGUCAUGCCAAUGGCACUGCCCGGUAGCUAAAUGCGGAAGAGAUAAGUGCUGAAAGCAUCUAAGCACGAAACUUGCCCCGAGAUGAGUUCUCCCUGAGACUUUAAGUCUCCUGAAGGAACGUUAAAGACGAUGACGUUGAUAGGCCGGGUGUGUAAGCGCAGCGAUGCGUUGAGCUAACCGGUACUAAUGAACCGUGAGGCUUAACC
rnacentral:rRNA from 1 species